rnacentral:rRNA from 1 species
CUUAACCGGGCGUUAAGUUGCAGGGUAUAGACCCGAAACCCGGUGAUCUAGCCAUGGGCAGGUUGAAGGUUGGGUAACACUAACUGGAGGACCGAACCGACUAAUGUUGAAAAAUUAGCGGAUGACCUGUGGCUGGGGGUGAAAGGCCAAUCAAACCGGGAGAUAGCUGGUUCUCCCCGAAAGCUAUUUAGGUAGCGCCUCGUGAAUUCAUCUCCGGGGGUAGAGCACUGUUUCGGCUAGGGGGCCAUCCCGGCUUACCAACCCGAUGCAAACUGCGAAUACCGGAGAAUGUUAUCACGGGAGACACACGGCGGGUGCUAACGUCCGUCGUGAAGAGGGAAACAACCCAGACCGCCAGCUAAGGUCCCAAAGUCAUGGUUAAGUGGGAAACGAUGUGGGAAGGCCCAGACAGCCAGGAUGUUGGCUUAGAAGCAGCCAUCAUUUAAAGAAAGCGUAAUAGCUCACUGGUCGAGUCGGCCUGCGCGGAAGAUGUAACGGGGCUAAACCAUGCACCGAAGCUGCGGCAGCGACACUCAGGUGUUGUUGGGUAGGGGAGCGUUCUGUAAGCCUGCGAAGGUGGCCUGUGAGGGUUGCUGGAGGUAUCAGAAGUGCGAAUGCUGACAUAAGUAACGAUAAAGCGGGUGAAAAGCCCGCUCGCCGGAAGACCAAGGGUUCCUGUCCAACGUUAAUCGGGGCAGGGUGAGUCGACCCCUAAGGCGAGGCCGAAAGGCGUAGUCGAUGGGAAACGGGUUAAUAUUCCCGUACUUGGUGUUACUGCGAAGGGGGGACGGAGAAGGCUAUGUUGGCCGGGCGACGGUUGUCCCGGUUUAAGCGUGUAGGUGUGUGUUCCAGGUAAAUCCGGUUCACUUUAACACUGAGGCGUGACGACGAGGCACUACGGUGCUGAAGCAACAAAUGCCCUGCUUCCAGGAAAAGCCUCUAAGCAUCAGGUAACAUCAAAUCGUACCCCAAACCGACACAGGUGGUCAGGUAGAGAAUACCAAGGCGCUUGAGAGAACUCGGGUGAAGGAACUAGGCAAAAUGGUGCCGUAACUUCGGGAGAAGGCACGCUGACAUGUAGGUGAAGUGAUUUACUCAUGGAGCUGAAGUCAGUCGAAGAUACCAGCUGGCUGCAACUGUUUAUUAAAAACACAGCACUGUGCAAACACGAAAGUGGACGUAUACGGUGUGACGCCUGCCCGGUGCCGGAAGGUUAAUUGAUGGGGUCAGCGCAAGCGAAGCUCCUGAUCGAAGCCCCGGUAAACGGCGGCCGUAACUAUAACGGUCCUAAGGUAGCGAAAUUCCUUGUCGGGUAAGUUCCGACCUGCACGAAUGGCGUAAUGAUGGCCAGGCUGUCUCCACCCGAGACUCAGUGAAAUUGAACUCGCUGUGAAGAUGCAGUGUACCCGCGGCAAGACGGAAAGACCCCGUGAACCUUUACUAUAGCUUGACACUGAACAUUGAGCCUUGAUGUGUAGGAUAGGUGGGAGGCUUUGAAGUGUGG